rnacentral:sRNA from 1 species
ACACCAGCACAGCAGAUUGGAGUUCUGUGUUUUCUGUCUGAGAGCAGCUACAACAUCAUUGUCAGCAGCCGUGCAGACUUCCUCAUGGUGACCUGGCAAUAUGCUUCAAUCUGUAUGAGAAGUGACAACUCUGAGGGUGAGAAGGAAGUUCAGUCCUCAUGCCGAUUAGUUCUUGGCCUCU